AUUGAACGCUGGCGGCAGGCCUAACACAUGCAAGUCGAGCGGAUGACGGGAGCUUGCUCCUUGAUUCAGCGGCGGACGGGUGAGUAAUGCCUAGGAAUCUGCCUGGUAGUGGGGGACAACGUUUCGAAAGGAACGCUAAUACCGCAUACGUCCUACGGGAGAAAGCAGGGGACCUUCGGGCCUUGCGCUAUCAGAUGAGCCUAGGUCGGAUUAGCUAGUUGGUGGGGUAAUGGCUCACCAAGGCGACGAUCCGUAACUGGUCUGAGAGGAUGAUCAGUCACACUGGAACUGAGACACGGUCCAGCCGCCUACGGGAGGCAGCAGUGGGGAAUAUUGGACAAUGGGCGAAAGCCUGAUCUAGCCAUGCCGCGUGUGUGAAGAAGGUCUUCGGAUUGUAAAGCACUUUAAGUUGGGAGGAAGGGCAGUAAGCUAAUACCUUGCUGUUUUGACGUUACCGACAGAAUAAGCACCGGCUAACUCUGUGCCAGCCGCCGCCGUAAGAC
rnacentral:rRNA from 1 species